CGCAGGCGUAUAGGCCGGCCAAGGCGCGAAGCAAGUAAUGCGCAGACGCACAAUACGUCUGCUGCAUGAGAACUACAGCCAGAGAAAGCUAGUGCGCCUGCGCAACGGGUCUGUCCCAGAGUUGGAGACGUGUCCUCUUUUUGUCCUGUUUCCGCCGGCAGGAGAUCCUGAUAAGGAAUAUGGAAAUAAUAAGCCACCACCAACCGGAAGAGUUCGGGAAAGGUCGAAAGGAGAAACGGCUUGUCCGUCCACUUCCCAGAAUCCCUCACGCUAGCAUCCAUCUUGGAUGGAAAGAACAAUACCUGAAUUGUUGACUGGAGUAAAAAUGCACAAUGUGAGAGCUGUGAGUUUCAGUUUUAUUUGGGGAUUUGCUGAGGAC
ensembl:lncRNA